CCUACGGGUGACAGCAGUGGGGGAUAUUGCACAAUGGGGGGAACCCUGAUGCAGCGACGCCGCGUGGGUGAAGGAGCGUUUCGGCGCGUAAAGCCCUAUCGGCAGGGAAGAAGAUGACGGUACCUGGCCAAGAAGCCCCGGCUAACUACGUGCCAGCAGCCGCGGUAAUACGUAGGGGGCAAGCGUUAUCCGGAUUUACUGGGUGUAAAGGGGGCGCAGACGGCAAUGCAAGCCAGGAGUGAAAGCCCGGGGCCCAACCCCGGGACUGCUCUUGGAACUGCAUGGCUGGAGUACAGGAGGGGCAGGCGGAAUUCCUAGUGUAGGAGUGAAAUCCGUAGAUAUCUGGAGGAACAUCAGUGGCGAAGGCGACUAUCUGGCACAUAACUGACGCUGAGGAGCGAAAGCGUGGGUAGCAAACAGGAUUAGAUACCCUAGUAGUC
rnacentral:rRNA from 1 species